CCUACGGGACGCACCAGUGGGGAAUAUUGCACAAUGGGCGCAAGCCUGAUGCAGCCAUGCCGCGUGUGUGAAGAAGGCCUUCGGGUUGUAAAGCACUUUCAGCGGGCAGGAAGGCGAUAAGGUUAAUAACCUUGUCGAUUGACGUUACCCGCAGAAGAAGCACCGGCUAACUCCGUGCCAGCAGACGCGGUAAUACGGAGGGUGCAAGCGUUAAUCGGAAUUACUGGGCGUAAAGCGCACGCAGGCGGUCUGUCAAGUCGGAUGUGAAAUCCCCGGGCUUAACCUGGGAACUGCAUUCGAAACUGGCAGGCUAGAGUCUUGUAGAGGGGGGUAGAAUUCCAGGUGUAGCGGUGAAAUGCGUAGAGAUCUGGAGGAAUACCGGUGGCGAAGGCGGCCCCCUGGACAAAGACUGACGCUCAGGUGCGAAAGCGUGGGGAGCAAACAGGAUUAGAUACCCCUGUAGU
rnacentral:rRNA from 1 species